CAUGUAGGCGGAUAUGCAAGCUUGGUGUGAAAGGCAGGGGGCUUAACUCCUGGACUGCGUUGAGAACUGCAUAACUAGAGUAACUGAGGGGCAACCGGAAUUCCAGGUGUAGGGGUGAAAUCUGUAGAUAUCUGGAAGAACACCAAUGGCGAAGGCAGGUUACCAGCAGAUUACUGACGCUGAGGUGCGAAGGUGCGGGGAGCAAACA
rnacentral:rRNA from 1 species